rnacentral:rRNA from 1 species
CAGCCGCCGCGGUAAUACGUAGGUGGCAAGCGUUGUCCGGAAUUAUUGGGCGUAAAGGGCUCGCAGGCGGUUUCUUAAGUCUGAUGUGAAAGCCCCCGGCUCAACCGGGGAGGGUCAUUGGAAACUGGGAAACUUGAGUGCAGAAGAGGAGAGUGGAAUUCCACGUGUAGCGGUGAAAUGCGUAGAGAUGUGGAGGAACGCCAGUGGCGAAGGCGACUCUCUGGUCUGUAACUGACGCUGAGGAGCGAAAGCGUGGGGAGCGAACAGGAUUAGAUACCCCAGUAGUCCCUGUCUCUUAUAA